UAUUGCUAAAUUUGUCAAGUCUUUUAUAUUUCAGUUGAUAUCCUUAAUUACAAAUAAGAAUCUCUAUUUACAUAAAUAGUAUAUAAAACUAUAUGCUUUAAAAUAUACUAUACACAAAAAGGCCAUGUGCAAUGCCAUCUCUUUCGGGUUCUUAAUCUACCUCUUUUUCAUCACAGGAGGUUAGCAUGUAUGCAUGUAGAAGAUAGAAAACAUUGUUAGCCCCCAACCAUCAUAGAAAGUCCUCAAACAUGCAAACACAGUUGCUGGAAAAUAUAAAAUAAAAGUGCAAUUCAUUUUCCUCAGAAUUUUUUCAGGAUUACAUUUUUUAUCUAUUGUUCAAAUUUUUGUUUUAGCAUUGAUGCAGAGGGUGUUACUAACAGCAUUAGUCAUUUCACCAAUGAUACAGACAAAGAUGCUAAUUUGGUCAUGAAGCUGAAUGUCUUUAAUGACAAAGAGGACCUCUGUCUGUAUGCUGUGAAGAAUAUACAGCCAAGGGAAUAGAUUCAAUACAAUUAUGGAGAUAAAGAGAACCUUUGGUGGAGGAGCAAGUAAUUUCUAAGAUGGCACAACGAGAAGAGAAUGCUGCAGAGGUGUUAGAUUGAGAUGUUGAGCAAAUGGAUUUAGAGCAAUGUUAAGAGAAUGCUGGAGAGGAGUUAGAUGGAAAUGUUGAGCAAGUGGAUCUGGAGCAAGAAGCAGAGAAAGCUGGAGAGUAUGUUUUAGAUGGAGACGUUAAUGUAAGUUAAAAAUGAAUGUCUCUCUUUAAUAUUCUGUCUCAAAUAUUUUAAUAUGAAUAUAUAUUUAUAUAUAUUAUACAGUAUUUGGUGGACACAAGUUAAGGUGUCUGCUUAAGAGGGGUAAUAGGAUUUCAUAAUCAGCUCACCGAGACAAAGUGGGGGUGGGGGGGGGGGGGCUUAUGCUAUACCCACGGUAUUGGCGUUGGCGUCUGGAUCUUGUUAAGGUUUUUAUGCAGGCCCUGUAUCUAAGUUAUUACUUGUCCUAUCUUCACCAAACUUGCAAGGAUGAUGCAUCUGGACCUAAUUAUGGACAUGAAAGACUUGGAUGCUGAAUCUUGGCCAUGAAUUUCAGAUGCUGGAGGAGGUUAAGGUUUUUGGAUCAGGUUCAAUUUUUUGGUGCAGGUGCCCUUUGAUAGCCAUUUCUAAGUUACUACUGGUCCUAACUUCACCAAACUUGCAUGGAUGCAUCUUUGCUAUCCAAGGUUUUCUGAUCCGCACCACUUCUCACAACCAUUGGCAUAUCGUGUUAACAAAAGUUCGUUUUUUUUUCCAGGAUUUUGAUUGGGGUUUACUGAAACCGUUCGACCAAUCAAAAACUACAAAGCAUAUCUGAUUUAAUCAACAAUGUUUUCCUUAUGUUUAUUCACGAGUGUCUCUACUAUGAAUAGCUCAAAACCCUUAUUUUUCUCGUCUUUCUGUUUGAGUCUUCAUAAUGCAUGUAUCGAUUAUUCAAUGGUGCAAAAAAAAGUACACUAUAUUGUUUAUCAACAGAGGUGUGCACUCGUAGAUUGAGGAUUUACCACUCACAGUCUUUUGAUCACCUUUCGAAUGAAUUCAAUCCAUAUGUAACAUUUCACAUUAUUCCUUUUUAUUGAAUACACUGGGUAACUUGUCAAUAUCAAUGUCUACAGAGGCUGCCAUAACUGCAUCAGGUACGUUAUAGUACGGCAUCUUUGAUUUAAAUAGUGACGAAAAAAUCCUGACUUUUGAUAGCACAAUAUGCCAAGGGUUUGUGAAAAGCGGUGCAGAUCAGAAACCCUUGGCUAGGGAAGAUGGCAUGGAUGGUGCGUCUUGUAAUACUGAUGCAUUUGAGCCAUAGGUUUUGGAUGCUGAAUGAGGUUAAAGUUAUUUGAGCAGGUGCCCUCUGAUGAUUAUAUCUUAGUUAUUACUUGUCCUAACUUCACCAAACUUACAUGGAUGGUGUGUUUUAUGAUAUAUGCACUUAGCAGGCUCGAAUGCUGAAUCUGAGUCAUAAGUUUUAGAUGCUGGAUGCGGUUUAGUUUUUAGGAACAGGUCACAUUUUUAGGAUAUAAUAGAACUAUUUCAAACUUGCAUAGUUGAUUUAACUAUAAUACAAAUAAAUUGCAGAGGUAUCUUCUGAUGAAGAGCCUGAUCUCCAUUAUCAAGAAUGCUAAAAAAAACCUUCUACCUCACACAAUCUUUUUCGAUAGAUGUUAUUAUUGUGAAAUGAUAUAGCAUGAUUCCAAUGAUAUAACAUGAUUCCAAUGAUAAAGUAUUGUAGGAUAUGAAACACCAUUGUUUUAUAUGAUACCAGCAUUAAAUAGAGAAUAAUACAUAUUCUUUUCCAUAUCACAGCAAGUAUCGGCCCGAGACUCCAAUAUCAGCCCAGGGGCAGAAGGCCCGGAGGAUGAUAUUGGUCGAGGGCUGAUACAGGCUGUGAUAUGGAAAAGGCAAGUGGAUUUGAAGCAACGUUAAGAGAAUGCUGGAGAGGUGUUAGAUGGAGAUGUUGAGGUAAAACAUGUCUGGAGGGCUACUUGAGCAGAUCUACAUCCUUUUCUUGCACAGUUCUUCAGUUCAGAACAAAGAUCAUGAAUGAAAAGAACAAAAGAAAAAAGAAGCAUUCCAAUCGAUUAAAAAACUUUUUUUUUUUAGAUUUUUUAAACCAAAACUUUAAAUCAAAUGCUUUCGUUUACUCCCUUUUAGCUAACCGGAGAUGAAAGCUCAUGUGAGCUUUUCAGAUCACUUUUUUGUAUGGCAUCUGUCUGUCAACUUUCAUAUUUUCAACUUAUUCCCUAGAACCACUUGGCUAAUUUCAACCAAACUUGGCAUGAAGAAACCUUGUGUAAAUGGCAUUCAAA